CUGUCAUAAAGCCAGUUUACUGUCCUUCUUAGCAACUCUACCAAGCCAAACAGAUUUGAUUAGUGAAUGAUAACCAAAAACAAAUAAUUACUGUUACAAUAUACAAUAUUGUACUAUCUUUAAAGAAUAGUCAUGAGGAACAUGCAGUGUAAUUCAAAAGAGCCAGAGUGGAUGCUUAUGAGAGAGCACUGACAAAAGGGGGAGGAAAAUUAGUGUUGGAAGCAUUCUUCUUACUUGAGGCUGUUAAAAAAGAGGCAGCAGAGAGUGGGGCUGGGUCUGAUUGCUGCUCUGUGCAGGAAAAACUCAGUCUGUCUUCAUGGUGCAGCGAUAACCUGGACUCUUUUUUCCUUCCUAUUCCCGGUUACUUUGCACACAACAACAGCUCAUGUCUUUGAUAUGGGCAUGAUGAUCUUUCAGCCUUAUCGGACUGUCCUGUUUCUGGCUUUAUCUGUGGCUUUUUUACAAUUUGUGAAAUGCCAAGACGACAGUGGUUUGUGACAUAUGAGGAUGGGCAAAGGGCACAGUUUACUCUUAACUCUUCAACAUGCACCAUUAGAUUUGUUGUCUACCCACAUCAGUAUCCUCCUCUCACAUCUGCUGAAUCCAUUUCAACUCUAGCACUGCGCUCACAUGACUCUAAAGGAACACAUCUUGCAUCUUAACGCAGAGCAGAUGUGUGAGGAUAUUAUGAGAAAGGCACUGACUCUGAACAUGCAGGGGGAAAAAAAACCCCCACCCAGCCGAGAAAACACCUGAGUGCUAUUACCUCAGUCAUACCCGGGUUAGAUCAUUUCAAACAUGUGACGUAUAUUUUUCCCUAAAUGAUGUCACCAGACAAAACAAUCAUGAGGAGUGUUUUCUCAGGUUCUGUUGAUUUUUAAUGUUUAGCAGAUUUUGAUAUAUGCAUAUCUGUACAAUAUGUUUUACAUGUGCCUCUUGGAUUCAAAGCCUAUUGUCGGGGAUUUACAGACAGUGCGCCACCUUGUGCUAAAUGAUCAUUACAACAGAAAAAAAAAUAUUGUAGUAUAUUCCUUCAUAAUAGAGCAAAAAUAGAAAUUAUAAUAUUUCUCCAUUGUAAAGAGAGAUUUUAUUUUUCACGUCAGUCUGUGCACUCUUGGGCUAAGAAGUAUUAAUGUUUGCUGGUGU
rnacentral:lncRNA from 1 species